CGGCCUCCUCCACCACGCGCUCACCGGCACCUCCCUCCUAGGCGCUGGCGGCCUCCUCCAACAAGCCAGGGAGAUAGGUGAGGCCGGCCAGAUCCGGCGGCCUCGUGCUCGGGCCAUGGCGGCGGCAGCCGGAUCUGGCGGCCUCGAGCUCCAUGGUGCUGCAGUGAGCGGCGGGCGCGCGGUCGGAGCGUCGCCGACGGGCGUGUGCAGCAGCAGCUCCCCCCUCCCCCCAUGGCGGAGCAGGCCCCGCCCCCGAUGGCGGUUCUAUGUUGUUCUCCUUCCUCUGCGUGCGCGUGCUGUUUGUUCUCCACCAUUGAUGCAUCUGAAGGUCUUCCUCCCGAGGUCUAUGCCUUCUUUACAACUAAUGCCUCACAUUACUUAUCAUUCCUCUGUCCCGAUGCAUCAUUAUCCAGACCACGCACACAAUCUACUUCCUAGUAAGAGCAAGUAUUAUAAAGAACUGAGAGCUGGCUGGGAUCCUACAUGGAAAAGAGAGAGUACGAGAGAGAAGGGAGCAGCCGGCUGGUGUGACGCUCGCUUGAGCGGGCGGAGAGGUGCUACUGCACGUACUAUUGGCUAGUACUUUCUACUCUGCAUUAAUUAAAUGUAGGGUCUACCGCUGGGACGCCUUCUUGCAGCCCGCGGUCGCCGCAUGCCAUUAGCCAUGCUCAUGCCAAUAGCCAUGCUCUAAUGCAGUAUAUUCUGCUUUAAGUUGUAUUGUCCUACCUAUUGUGCUCCUCCUCAUCAUGCUGUGCUUUACUGUUGCAACCUAUGCUUAGGCCUAUCACACAAUCCUGCAAACUCAGAUCCUGCUGAAAAUUGGCAAAAACGUAUGAAAUACCUCCUACAAGAAAAAGGCUAACACAAUCAGGUAUCAAAUUCUAUUCUAACUGUAUUCGACCAUUAUAGACCCAUCUGUUGUUAACUAUAUUCUAAUGGUACGAAUCCUUUGGAAUCCAGUUAACCGUACCAUAAGUAAAUAUGGUUCCUUUGCAAAUCUAACUCUCCUUAAGGAAUUCCAUUUUCCCCUAAAUCUAAAUAGUGACCCCUUGCCAGGUCAAGAGCAAUGAUGACCUGUUUAUUGUAGCAGGAACAUCAACUGAAGCAGCUCAGUACAGGCAGCACCUUCCAGGUUGAUUGUGAUUAAACCUUUUGAUCUGUUCACGACCUGCAAUCCCCCCCUCCCCACCACCACCACCAAAUCUAAGUGAAACCGACUAAAACCAAUCACCUGAAAAAGAAUAUCUGUUAUAUUCACUAGCAUUUUAGUUCUGUUGUUCAGCUUUCCUAGCCUCAAUGUUAAGUUAAAAUGAUGGAGUUUUACUUUUACAUUAAUUUUUUUUCCAUAGCAUUAGGAGGCUGUCCUCAUUCUGAAACUUCAAAUACUAGCUCGCUUUUUCUUCCCUGCAGAAAGAAUGUGUCUUAAGUCACUUGAUUAUCUCACAAACAGUUCAUCAUGCACACAUAGCUUCGGUAUGCUAUCACUUUCUGUCGGAUGAUAAAUAAAAACCCUAUCCUAAUGCAUCGUCCCUGUUCUCUUAGCUACAUCUUCACAGCAUCUCAUUGACAGAACAGAAGGCCAGCAUCCACCAACCGGGCCAGCUGAAAUUUCAAUUAACAUAAGCACCGACACCAGUGUUCAGCUCCCUUCUGAAUCAAUCACAGAUGUCGAAAUAGUUGUUGACUUAACUGCGGAAUCCAGUUUCCAAUUAGCUUCUCUUAAGCUGAACAUUCCAGUAUUCGACGCUCUGUUUCCCUUGGCCAUCCAAAUCUCACUAGGCAAUAUACAUAUGGAACCAGUUCAUGUGUUCAGAUCCUUUGUCUCAGCCACAUUUGCAUUAGUUAUUUGGAGGAGAUUACUUCAUCUUAUCUUUGUGCACUGUGCUGCAAAGGUACCUUUGAUACCAGCAUGGUUGCAAGGCCCUGAUACCAGCAUGGUUGCAAGGUCCUUAUGCUUACUUAAACCGUAUACUGUUGUUCAGCUUCUACUCGCUUCAGUGGCUAUGCUUAACCCUUUCCAGGAAUAUAAGGCUCUGCAUCACAUCAGCCACACUAAUUUGGACGUUUACCUUUAUCAGUUGCUUACCCAACACAUACACGACAUCAAAGGUCAGAGCAGUCACUAACUUCCUUCUCCAGAUUAACUAUCUCAUCAUGCUCUCCUCACAGUGGCAAACAUAAUCGAGGUUGUAUUGUUGCUGAUAGAACACUAUCUCAUCGCUACUUAUCAGUAUAUUCGUAGAUCCUUCUUAGACCAUUAGAUCAAUAGGCCAUGUUCAGUUGAGGAGUUGCAGUUGCUUCUUCUUGCUGGAAUAACAUCAUCCCCACCUACCUAUGAAGCAAUUCAGCUGCUGACCAUGCCAACAACUAUCAGGGGUGACACCAAAGCAAGAAUGCUGCCAUUUUCCCAAAUCACUGAAUGCAUGUACUGGUCGUGCAUUUCUCCAUCAGCAUUCCAACUGUGUGAUCAUGAAGGGAUUUCACCCUCGGCUUAAUGUACCUAUGUAUUAUGGCAUUUCCGUUCCUAAAUAUAGUGGCUACUAAGUAAGUAUGCCCUCCAACUCUCGUAAAGCUCCUAAGCUUCCCCCAGUGACGAUUUGUACUGUAAUUUAAAUGCACCUUUCGCUGAUGUUUGUGUGCGCAUCUAUUCAGUAAUUUCAGAGUUCAUAACUAAUCA